rnacentral:tRNA from 1 species
GGAUAUAGCUCAGUGGUAGAGCACUUGCCUAGCAUUUGCAAAGGCCUGGUUUUGAUUCCCAGCACCA